GUAGGUGAACCUGCGGAAGGAUCAUUAUUGAAUAAACUUGGUCGAGCUGUUGCUGGUCCUUCGGGGCAUGUGCACGCUUGCCACCAAAUUUAACCACCUGUGCACCUCUUGUAGACUGAAAAACUUAUUCUCGAGGUAACUCGGAUUGAGGACUGCUGCGCGCAAGCCAAGCUGUUCUUGUGUUUUCUCAGUCUAUGUUUCUACAUACCCCGAACGAAUGUAAUAGAAUGUUUUGUUAGGCCUUAGCGCCUUUAAAUCAAAUACAACUUUCAACAACGGAUCUCUUGGCUCUC
rnacentral:misc_RNA from 1 species